rnacentral:rRNA from 1 species
GGAUGCGAUCAUACCAGCACUAAAGCACCGGAUCCCAUCAGAACUCCGAAGUUAAGCUUGCUUGGGCGAGAGUAGUACUAGGAUGGGUGACCUCCUGGAAGUCCUCGUGUUGCAUUCC